GACGCACACUGGCGGCGUUCCUACUACAUGCAAGUAGAACGCAGUUGCGAACGGGUGAGUAACGAGUAGGUAACUGCCUCAUAGCGGGGGAUAACUAUUGGCAACGGUAGCUACUACCGCAUACUGUGAGGUGGACCUGAGUUGUAUUAAGUAGUUGGUGAGGUAAAGGCUCACAAAGGCGACGAUACAUAGCAGACCUGUGAGGGGGAUCGGCAAAACUGGGACUGAGACAAGGGCCAGACGCCUACGGGAGGCAGCAGUAGGGAAUCUUCGGCCAUGGACGGAAGUGUGACCGAGCAACGCCGCGUGAUUGAAGAAGGUUUUCGGAUCGUAAAGAUAUGUUGUUAGAGAAGCGGUAACUACCCAGAAAGGGACGGCUAACUACGUGCCAGCAGCCGCGGUAAUUC
rnacentral:rRNA from 1 species